UUUAUGGAGAGUUUGAUCCUGGCUCAGGACGAACGCUGGCGGCGUGCCUAAUACAUGCAAGUCGAGCGGACAGAAGGGAGCUUGCUCCCUGAAGU
rnacentral:rRNA from 1 species